rnacentral:rRNA from 1 species
UACGGAGGGUGCGAGCGUUAAUCGGAAUUACUGGGCGUAAAGCGCGCGUAGGCGGUUUGAUAAGUCUGAUGUGAAAGCCCUGGGCUUAACCUGGGAACUGCAUUGGAUACUGUCAGGCUCGAGUGUGGUAGAGGGUAGUGGAAUUUCCGGUGUAGCAGUGAAAUGCGUAGAGAUCGGAAGGAACACCAGUGGCGAAGGCGGCUACCUGGACCAACACUGACGCUGAGGUGCGAAAGCGUGGGGAGCAAACAGG